AUAUUGAAGGGCUGCAGUAUAUUGACUGUACAAAGGUAGCAUAAUCAUUAGUCAUUUAAUUGAUGACUUGUAUGAAAGAUUGGAUGAAAUAUAAACUGUCUCUUAAUUAAAUAUAGAAUUUAAUUUUUUAAUUAAAAAGUUAAAAUAAUUUAAAAAGACGAGAAGACCCUAUAGAGUUUUAUAGUUAAUUUAAUUAAGAUUAUUUAUUAAAAAAAAAAUUAAAAUUAAAUUAUUUAUUUUGUUGGGGUGACAGAAAAAUAUAUAUAACUUUUUUUAAAUUUAAACAUUUAUAAGUGAUUAAAUGAUCCAAUAUUAUUGAUUAUAAGAAAAAAUUACCUUAGGGAUAACAGCGUAAUUUUUUUUUUUA
rnacentral:rRNA from 1 species